AGGAGUUGCUGAAGAAUAAUCAGUUAAAUCGUAUACUCUUUUUUAUAGGGGAGUGAGGAAAGUGACUGAUAAAAAAUGAGCCAGCUCACCAGCAACAGAACUCAGAGCAGCACCAUCACCUGACUCAGGGAUCAGAGACAUCCUCCAACUAUCCUGGGAAGCUGUCUAUCUGAGCUAAUGCACAGAUCAGGACACAGGGACUCCAAACAAGCCUCUGCCGGCUACCUGGUGCAUGACCAUGACCACUACUCACAGGCUUCUGACCAACACAGCAACAGCUGCUAAAGAGAAAGCACAGUAGAAAUAAAGCAAGAGCAAGAUAUGAUGGAGUCCACAAAAGGAAACAAGCCUUUUCCCCAGUUUGAUGGAAACCUCCUUCCUCGCCAGCAGUGAAUAAG
rnacentral:lncRNA from 1 species